rnacentral:rRNA from 1 species
UACAGAGGUCCCAAGCGUUGUUCGGAUUCAUUGGGCGUAAAGGGUGCGUAGGCGGUGGGGUAAGUUGGAUGUGAAAUCUUGGGGCUUAACCUCAAAAUUGCAUUCAAUACUGCUCCGCUCGAGUUCUGUAGAGGAGAUUGGAAUUUACGGUGUAGCAGUGAAAUGCGUAGAUAUCGUAAGGAACGCCAGUGGCGAAAGCGAAUCUCUGGGCAGCAACUGACGCUGAGGCACGAAAGCGUGGGGAGCAAACAGG